GUGGUGGGCUGGCCCUGUACACCCUAAGGAUCAGAUUCCCCCUGAGAAAAAGUGUGAUGUGAUAUACGAGAUCCCUUGCCUAACAUGCA